ACACGCUACAAGUAUAAUUGGCGGUGAUUUUGUGUUUCUUCAUUAUGGAACGCUCACAGCGGUUCGUUUCUACAUGAUAAGAAAAUAAUGGAUUGGAAAAGCGUGACUUUAAUGUGGAUUGUCGUAUCCAUAGUACAAUUAAUAGGUACGUUUUAGGAUAACGGAUAAUAAGAUCUAGUGCCGGACUUUCGUUUCUUGCUGACACUUAUUGGUUACGCUUCAAAUUACAUUGUGUCUAUAUCUAAAGCUCGUGAGCAGGCCCACUCAGGAAUCUGGACAGAAUGCCAUGUCACAAAAGAUGGGACUCAGUGUCUUGAUGUAGCUGACUUUGUGGAAUGGACAAAAGGAAACAGAGCUUGGGUGGACGCCAGCAGAGGAAUGAUGAGUAUCUCCUUCGUUGGUCAGUUCCUCACUGUCGUGUUGACCUUCCUGGCACUUUGCCGGACGUCGACGAAGUUGAUGUGUUGGAUCACGUCAGGAGUGGGCGUCUUUUCAGUUCUGAAUGGGAUUAUUGGAGUAGCUGUGGCGGCUGCAAGAGGCGCUAUUGAUUUGGAGAAUCACGUGCAACAGAAUGUUGAUGUCGAUUGGUCUUUUACUUUAUUUCUUAUAGGCCAACUGACGUUCCUUCUGACGUCUUGCUUUCACUAUCUAGACUCACGGAGCAAGUCUUAAGUAGCCAGAACGUUUUUAUCAGUAGAUGGGACAAUGCAGAACAUUGAGCAGGGGAGACAACUUUGUCAGGGGAGUAGUUCUAGGUUCGACAAUUCAAGAGAAAGCCAAAUUAUUAUUAUUAUUAUUUUAAUAGCUUUUAUAUAGCGCUACUUUCAUGCUUUUAGCAUGCUCAGAGC